UAUCCGGUUCAGUUCCCGGUCCGGUUUUAAAAACACUGCUAUUCAAAGUCUGAACUUCAAAUAAUAAAUGACAAAUGCUAUGAUCAACACAAUGAAGGUUGGAGUCUUAAUUAUCCGGUUCAGUUCCCGGUCCGUUUGUAUUUUGGAGUUAUCAGGACGUUUAGAAUAGCUGUUUCUUCUGCAAAGCUGCCGUUUAUGUUCUGUCCUAAAGAAUCUUUACCGAGCUCUUUAAUCUAAAGCUUAAUUUGGUCACCAUUUCCUUGUUAUUGUUGGUUUAAUUUUUUUUUCUGUUUUUGCUUUUCAAUGAACUUUGAUACCUUUAUUGUUCUGGUUAUUACUCAGGAUGUUCAGAAUCCAACUCAUAGGCUACUGAUUAAUACUCUUUAACCGUUUCUUGGUUCUAUUAACCUUAAUACUUGUUUAAUUAAGUCCAGAUAUAAAACUUUCUCAUGUUGGUCUUUCCUCGCAGAUCACAUUUUCUGAAACUAUAGUUAAGUAUUAAAUCUCUUCUUGCAUGAUAAAACAAAGGAAGCAGAGAGUCAAGGAGAUAAUGAGGUGGGGAAAGACUGCAAGACUAUAGAAGGAAACGCAAAGAAGAGUUUGAAACAAACGUUGCAAAGCCUGGGAACAUAUCGACCAUGUUAUUAUGAAUCUCCCAGCUAAUUCUGCCUUGCAGUUUCUCGAUUUUUUCAGUAAUGUAAUUCAACGGAAGUAUUGGAAAGGACCUCUGCCUUUAAUUCAUUGCUACUGUUUCAUUCGUGCAAGUGAAACCACAGAGACUAUUAUAGCAGUAAGAAUCAACCAUUGACUCAUUGUGAUUUCUUCAUCAUAUCAUCUUCCUUUCAAAGAUCUGGAAUAUAAAGUAGAGCUUUUGUAAUAGAAGACCCGGUCUUCCACAAGGUCAGUGAUGUUGCUCCAAACAAGGCUAUGUUUUGCCUAAGCUUUAGACUGUCUGAAGCAUGUUUUAUGGGACUAAAAAUGACAUUUUAUGGAAGAGAGAAGAUUCAAAACCAUCCGUUGUAAUUCUUAGAGGAAUGAAUGUGAUGAGUCUUUGUGUAAAACAGUCUUUGUAUAUCUUACAUAGAUGUUAGCAGUUUGAAUCCAUUCUCUGUAAAUGAUGGAAUGCUUAAGUAAGAUUCAGGUUUAGUUUUCAUACA